GGGGAAUAUUGGACAAUGGGCGCAAGCCUGAUCCAGCAAUGCCGCGUGUGUGAAGAAGGCCUUCGGGUUGUAAAGCACUUUUAUCAGGAGCGAAACGCUGUCGGCUAAUACCCGGCGGAACUGACGGUACCUGAGGAAUAAGCACCGGCUAACUUCGUGCCAGCAGCCGCGGUAAUACGAAGGGUGCAAGCGUUAAUCGGAAUUACUGGGCGUAAAGCGUGCGUAGGCGGUUUCUUAAGUCUGCUGUGAAAUCCCCGGGCUCAACCUGGGAAUGGCAGUGGAUACUGGGAGGCUAGAGUGUGUCAGAGGGUGGUGGAAUUCCCGGUGUAGCGGUGAAAUGCGUAGAGAUCGGGAGGAACAUCAGUGGCGAAGGCGGCCACCUGGGACAACACUGACGCUGAGGCACGAAAGCGUGGGGAGCAAAC
rnacentral:rRNA from 1 species